GACGAACGCUGGCGGCGUGCUUAACACAUGCAAGUCGAACGCUGAAGCUUGGUGCUUGCACUGGGUGGAUGAGUGGCGAACGGGUGAGUAAUACGUGAGUAACCUGCCCUUGACUCUGGGAUAAGCCUGGGAAACUGGGUCUAAUACUGGAUAUGACAUGCCACUGCAUGGUGGUGUGUGGAAAGGGUUUUACUGGUUUUGGAUGGGCUCACGGCCUAUCAGCUUGUUGGCGGGGUAAUGGCCUACCAAGGCGACGACGGGUAGCCGGCCUGAGAGGGUGACCGGCCACACUGGGACUGAGACACGGCCCAGACUCCUACGGGAGGCAGCAGUGGGGAAUAUUGCACAAUGGGCGGAAGCCUGAUGCAGCGACGCCGCGUGAGGGAUGACGGCCUUCGGGUUGUAAACCUCUUUCAGCACGGAAGAAGCGAGAGUGACGGUACGUGCAGAAGAAGCGCCGGCUAACUACGUG
rnacentral:rRNA from 1 species